UACGUAGGGGGCAAGCGUUGUCCGGAUUUAUUGGGCGUAAAGAGCGUGUAGGCGGCCGGACAGGUCAGCUGUGAAAACUCGAGGCUCAACCUCGAGACGUCGGUUGAAACCGUACGGCUAGAGUCCGGAAGAGGAGAGUGGAAUUCCCGGUGUAGCGGUGAAAUGCGCAGAUAUCGGGAAGAACACCAGUGGCGAAGGCGGCUCUCUGGGACGGUACUGACGCUGAGACGCGAAAGCGUGGGGAGCGAACAGG
rnacentral:rRNA from 1 species